UACGGGGGGUGCGAGCGUUGUCCGGAAUCACUGGGCGUAAAGGGCGCGUAGGUGGUUUGAUAAGGGUGUGGUGAAAGCCCGGGGCUCAACCCCGGGUCUGCCGUGCCGACUGUCAAACUCGAGGGCUGUAGAGGCAGACGGAAUUCCGGGUGUAGCGGUGGAAUGCGUAGAGAUCCGGAGGAAGACCGGUGGCGAAGGCGGUCUGCUGGGCAGUUUCUGACGCUGAGGCGCGAAAGCCAGGGGAGCAAACGGG
rnacentral:rRNA from 1 species